rnacentral:rRNA from 1 species
GAUGAACGCUGGCGGCGUGCCUAAUACAUGCAAGUCGAGCGAACAGACGAGGAGCUUGCUCCUCUGAUGUUAGCGGCGGACGGGUGAGUAACACGUGGAUAACCUACCUAUAAGACUGGGAUAACUUCGGGAAACCGUAGCUAAUACCGGAUAACAUGUUGAACCGCAUGGUUCAACAGUGAAAGACGGUCUUGCUGUCACUUAUAGAUGGAUCCGCGCCGCAUUAGCUAGUUGGUAAGGUAACGGCUUACCAAGGCAACGAUGCGUAGCCGACCUGAGAGGGUGAUCGGCCACACUGGAACUGAGACACGGUCCAGACUCCUACGGGAGGCAGCAGUAGGGAAUCUUCCGCAAUGGGCGAAAGCCUGACGGAGCAACGCCGCGUGAGUGAAGAAGGUCUUCGGAUCGUAAAACUCUGUUAUUAGGGAAGAACAAAUGUGUAAGUAACUAUGCACGUCUUGACGGUACCUAAUCAGAAAGCCACGGCUAACUACGUG